rnacentral:lncRNA from 10 species
AUCCAAUACAACUGAUGUCCUUCUAAGAAGAAAUGAGAACACAAACGUGCAUAGGGGGAAGACCAUGUGAGGACACAGGGAGAAGACAGCAUCUACAAGCCAAGGAGAGGGGCAUGAGAAGAAACCGAACCUGCCAGCAACCUGAUCCCAGACUCCCACCCCUAGAAGUGCAGGAACAAUGCAAACCUGGCCUAUGGUGCUUUGCUACGCAGCCCUGGAAAACUAGGACAGAAUGUGGCAGAAUUGGCCGGAAGCAGAAUUGCCUGUUUCCAGUGAGGCCCCCUUGCCCUCUUGGAAGCAAUUGCUGUGUAGGAAGUCUGAACACCUCACAGGAGAUGGAGGCCAGUUCCUGCCUGCUGUAGCCACCCAGCUGAAGGGGGUCCAGACACGAGUGGAGGCAUUGUGACCUCCAGCCUCAGCAGACACCUCCACACUGCGCAGGGCAGAGCAACCACGCCACCGAGUGAGCCCCAUUUGCAGACUUUGAGCAAAUAAUGAUUGUGCACGUUGGAUCAUUUAUUGAGUUUCUCUCGUACACCAAGCACUGGUUGGAUCCCAUGCUUGUUGGUGACAGAACUGCUGUGAUGCCAGUCCUGCGUCCCCUUCAGCCUGUGAAGGAGGAGCACCAUGAACCAGCCAACUAACACGUGUCUAAUCACAUAAAGGGAACUGAACACCAGAGAGCCACAGUCACUUUCCGAAGGUCACACAGCAAGUGCAAAUGAGGCCUCAUCCUCAGGGCUGGGUUCCAGGCCUGCUGGGCAGGUCGGUUACUGCUGCACAAAAUUUCUGUUAUCCUAAAAUUGUUUCAGACAAGCACCAAAGGACGUCCCAUAGUUCUGCUUGACUAAGGUUUAAUGAAGUUAAUGUUCAUACUU